AUGGUUCUGUGGAUCUAGACUUUUCCAUUCUCCAAUCCGCGCCGUCGAAACAGCAAAACCCUAAAACCCCCAAAACCCUACCUUUUAAAUCUCUAUAUAUUCAUCGUUUCCUCUUCUACUUCACUUCACUUCACAGCAGUUUUUGACGAAAUCUCUUCUGCCUACUCUUAACUUUUUUAUUUUCAAAAUCAAAACUUCUUCCUAUUAGGGUUAUUGAUAGAGGAAUCAAAAUUUUCGUUUUUUUUCAUAUUGGGGAGAUCGGUGAUGAUGAAUUCGAAGGCUUGUUUCUCAAAACAUUCGCAGUGGCCGCCUAAGUGCUUUCGCCUUCGCCAGGCUUGAGAGGGAUCUGGAACAGUAACGUUUGCUGCGGUCCGAACAAGUUUUGUGAAAUUGUUUUUAUGUAAAUAGAGCAGAAUGUACAGAGAAUUUAUACAAUUAGCCUAACUAGUUUACUUUGAUUUAUUUUGUUGAAUCUUACUCUUUCAGUGUCUAUGAUGAUAAAUUUUAAGGCUUGUUUCUCAAAACAUUCGCAGUGGCCGCCUAAGUGCUUUCGCCUUCGCCUGGCUUGAGAGUUUAUGCUGCUUUUAUCCUUGGAUGUCUGAGACACUAUAUUUUCAUCUUACAAGUAUUACAUUUUGUAGCUUUUGCUUAUUGAACUUACCAUUUUAAUGCCAAAUUUGGAAUUCUUAAUGUUACUUGUGGCUAAAGAUUAUAGCUUUUUGGAAACAUUAUGAUCUUUGUUUUAUAAAUCAGGGGAUUUGGGACUAGGAUGUCUGCCCCUUGAGCAUAUGUAAAGUUGCUUUAGGGAUGAACAAGUCCCUGACAAUUGAACUCCAUUCUUCACUUUGUCAGCAUUGUUUUAUUUAAUGCUUUGCUGAUCAUUAUCGGAUGGUACACUUUUUUGGAUUAAUUUGAUAAGUUGCUUUGUGUUUUUUUUUUUUGUAAAAAUUAUCUUGUUGCCUAUGAUAUACAUUUUAAGGCUUGUUUCUCAAAACAUUCGCAGUGGCCGUCUAAGUGCUCUUGCCUUCGCCAGGCUUGAGAGUGCAUGCUGCUUUUAUGAACACUUGAUUUGUGGUACUUUUAUAUGAUUUUGUUUGUAGUAAAUGGAGUAUUUGAUGAGUAGCUCUAGUUUUAGAUGCUUACAUCAUUAGCUUUUCAAUCUUGUCAUUCUAUCUAAAUACAUAAAUAGGAUACCUAGGAACAAUUGAUGAUUUUGUUCUUGCUUGAUAUGAUUAAAGGAGACUAAUAAUAAUGUCACUUGUAUGAGUGUAACUCAUGAAACUAGUUUUCAUUAUCUUUUUCUUUCGUUAAACUCUAUUUAUGGCCCAUGAUGAUAAAUCCUAAGGCUUGUUUCUCAAAACAUUCGCAGUGGCCGCCUAAGUGCUUUCGCCUUCGCCAGGCUUGAGAGUAUAUGCUGCUUUUAUCCUUCCUUGGAUGUCUGAGGCCUUGUUUUCCUACUUUUACUGUAGAUUAAGGAUCUUUUUUCCUAUGCUUUCUUUUAAUGCUAACAUGAUAGUUGAUUGUAGGUAAGUUAUCAUGAAUACUUGGUCUAUGCUGGUUUUGUAGGGCUAUGAUUAAAAAGAGAGAGGAUAGAGUGAAGUUCUCAUUUUUGAAUGGAUCUUGGUAGAUCAAGAUGCAUAAUUAAGGGGUUUAUGAUUUAGUUGCCCCUUUCUUUGAUUCACUGGAAGCUGUUGGCAGCUUGUCAACUAACCCUUGUAUCUUUAUUCUAUCCUGUUGCUCCUUUCAAUAUGAGAUUUUUUCACAGUGAUGGUUCUUCCAUAAAUACACUUGAUAUGAGCCCUCUCAGUUGAACCAAAAUUAUGUACAAUUUGUGAUAUAAUCAACUGUGCUUGAAAAUUUAAUAAGGCUUGCUAUACUGAUUAUUCUGCU